rnacentral:tRNA from 1 species
CCAGGGCGUCGGCGACGGUGGCGGCGUUGGUGCGCAGGGUGCGUUCGUGGCCGUCCGCGAGGAAGGUCACCGAGCGUUCGGUGCGGACGUCCAGGGC